UACGUAGGGUGCAAGCGUUAUCCGGAUUCACUGGGUUUAAAGGGUGCGUAGGUGGGCAGGUAAGUCAGUGGUGAAAUCUCCGAGCUUAACUCGGAAACUGCCGUUGAUACUAUUUGUCUUGAAUAUUGUGGAGGUAAGCGGAAUAUGUCAUGUAGCGGUGAAAUGCUUAGAUAUGACAUAGAACACCAAUUGCGAAGGCAGCUUACUACACAACGAUUGACGCUGAGGCACGAAAGCGUGGGGAUCAAACAGG
rnacentral:rRNA from 1 species